AACGAACGCUGGCGGCAUGCCUAACACAUGCAAGUCGAACGAGACCUUCGGGUCUAGUGGCGCACGGGGGCGUAAGGCGGGGGAACCUGCCCUUAGGUUCGGAAUACCUCCCCGAAGGGGGUGCUAAUACCGGUGAAGGUCUUCGGACCAAAGAUUUAUGGCGUUUGGAUGGGCCCGCGUUGGAUUAGCUGGUUGGUAGGGUAAAAGCAUAGCAAGGGGACGAUCCAUAGCUGGUCUGAGAGGAUGACCAGCCACACUGGGACUGAGACACGGACCAGAAUCCUACGGAAGGGAGCAGUGGGGAAUAUUGGACGCUGGGGGAAAGCGUGAUCCAGCAAUGCCGCGGGAGUGAUGAAGGGCUUAGGGUUGUAAAGCUCUUUUACCCGGGAUGAUAAUGACAGUACCGGGAGAAUAAGCUCCGGCUAACUCCGUG
rnacentral:rRNA from 1 species